AUCCAGCUGACGAGCCCCAAAUGGGACGAAACGCAUAUCGUGGAU
rnacentral:hammerhead_ribozyme from 1 species